GACAAUGUACCAAAGUGGUUACUGGGUUGCACUCGAAUUGCGUUUUCGCAUGCUAUGCAAUGGGCUCUGCCCGCGUAGGUUCAAAUCCUGCCAUUGUCG
rfam:Pneumocystis jirovecii RT7 supercont1.10, whole genome shotgun sequence.